GCCAGGUGUGGUGGCGUGUACCUGUAGUCCCAGCUACUCAGGAGGCUGAGGUGGCAGAAUCACUUGAGCCCAAGAGUUUGAGGCUGCAGUGAACCAUGAUCGUGCCACUGCACUCCAGCUUGGGCAACAGAGUGAGACCCUGUCUCCA
ensembl:misc_RNA Metazoa_SRP Metazoan signal recognition particle RNA